ensembl:lncRNA EOLA2-DT EOLA2 divergent transcript
UUCACUCAGCAAACUGGGACUGUUGGUCACCCUACCUGGCAGCCAGUGAUAAGGGCUGGUGUCAUUGGCAUGACAGACCUGCCUUGGCUGAGCGUUCACCUGUCUUUGGAGUUCAGCCACCUUAGCAAGUCCUGGGUUUGUUCUUCAGACUUUGCUGCUCGCCCAUUGCCUGGAUCGGGGGCUACUUUGUAAACCACCAGGAAGACUCCAGUGUUUCUGGUUAAUUUUUAGAUGUUUGUUAAUUGCUCUUGGUCUCUCAUUAAUCCCCUGUGGGUCAUCCAGGAAACAUACUCACCACUGUCUGUUCUCUGAGUUUUCAUUUCCAGGCAUCCGCCCUGCCUGGAUCUCCUCACCUGCCAGGAACUUCCUCUCCACAAGCCGGCCAUCCCAGCAAAAGUUCUAACACCAAAGGUCUGGCAACUAGCCUGCCAUCUUGUGCCUGGAGCCGCCUGCGUGCCACCUACUCCCGAAGAUGGGAACCUUGUUGCCAGUUGGGCAGAUGCGGGGCAAUCCUGUACCAAGACCCCAUUUUACCACCUGCUUUCUCAGACCACUCUGGAACCCACUGUCUCAGAUUGUGUCCUCCAGGAAGCAGACCAUGAGAGGGAGUUGGCAGGGCCAAAGAUUUACUGGGGCUAACUAACACUCAGGAAAGGGAUAGGAAGGAAACAGGGCUGGAGAGCAGGUUGAGCCCGACCUGACAGUCUCGAGCAGCCCAACAGGGAGGUGUGGAGCAAGGGUUGCCCACUAGAGGGGCCUGCAUUGGGUACGGGUGAUGGGGUCCACAUGGUACCUGGCAUAUAGCAGGCUGUGCAAUCCAUAUUAACUGACUGGAUAAAUUAAUGCCCAGAAAAGGUGCCCUGGAGAAUGGGUGUGUGCUGAACACAAUAGGGAAGGGCCCAGCAUCUGCCUUGGCAUAGGCAGAACUGUGCUGUGCCCUGCAACAGGCCACCUGAGAGCUGCUUUGAUCUUGUGUGUACAUUAGAUGACUGCCAGGGGCAUGAAGGGGAUGUGCUUCCAGGGCAUUUGCUGGCAGGGCGUCUCGUGAUCUCUUGGUAUUGGUGUGAGCACAGCCUGGCAGGAGAGGGCAGAUCUCCAUGCAAAGUAUGUCAGAAAGCAGAUGGAAGCCAGGCCCCCUCCUGAAAGAGGCUCCUUGAAGAGACAGAGAAGAGUCCAUGAGAAUCAACAUUUUCUGAGGACUCCAACUGUGUGCCAAGAGAGUUCCCCUGCUGGUGCCUCCUCUGUAGUAAAGGAAAGGCUCCUGGGACCACAUUAUCAUUCUCUUCACUCGAGAGAUGAGGACACUGAAAUUCAGAGAGGGGAAGUGAUUUGCCUCAGCUUGUACUAAAGAAACAUUUCAACAGAGAACCCAGUGGAAAUUAUGACAUGUUAUCUUCUCAGAGUCCUGAACUCCCAUCCCUACCUCAGAAGAGACUCCUCUGUUCACAGAAGCUAAAGGCAGUUCCUUCCCAAUGGCAACUAUGUUUGGAUGUUGGAUCUACACUUUCUCAAGCACUGUGAUCUUCAAAUCAAAGGAGAUUUCUCCCAUUAUAUACUUCUUAUGAUCAACAAAUUCCAUCAUCUCCCCACUAAGAGAAAGUACUCCAAGAUGAUAGAAUGAUUUUAAAGUUAUGGGACUACAACAGCAGCCACAGGAACCUUGAAUGGGGAUAGUGGCUUGCUUCCAGGGCUGGCCUUGACCACACCGUUAUCAGAGCUUCUGGACUCCAAUGACAUGACUACCUGACUCCCUCACUUGGAGAAUCUGGGUCCCAUGGCUUCUGGCACAAUGACUUCACUAUGGCUGCAGUUCUACCUUUUCCCUCCAACCGUGGCUCAGUGCCAGGAUAGAAGGAAAAUGCGAAAGAGUUUGACAAUAUUUCAGAGAGGAGACUUUUAGCAGAAGUUAUAGCUUUGCUGUCCUGGGCAGUGUUAUGAAGGAGCUUUCCCACACAUUCCUCUGGAUCCUACCUUCAUCUGCCACCUUUACUCCUGGUUCUUUCUUCU